UACGUAGGGGGCAAGCGUUGUCCGGAAUCAUUGGGCGUAAAGCGCGUGUAGGCGGCUGAGUAAGUCUGCUCUGAAAGCCCGGGGCUCAACCCCGGGAGGCGGGUGGAUACUGCUCAGCUCGAGUCCGGAAGAGGAGUGUGGAAUUCCUGGUGUAGCGGUGAAAUGCGCAGAUAUCAGGAAGAACACCCGUGGCUAAGGCGGCUCUCUAGUACGGUACUGACGCUGAGACGCGAAAGCGUGGGGAGCGAACAGG
rnacentral:rRNA from 1 species